CAUUGAAUAAUUUUUUUAAUAAAAAAUAUAAGUUUUUUUGCAUCCCCAAGAGCAACGUUGUAAUACAUUAUCCAACAAUAAAUUCACUUUCACAUUUGUUAGACAAAAUUAUUUAGUUGAUCCUUUAAAUAUCAAUGGUAGUUUUUAUUAACAUGACAAUUAUCAAACAAAAUAAUAUAACAUAUCAACAUAAAGUAGUUUUUUACAUUUGGGACGGGUUUG
rnacentral:lncRNA from 1 species